CCCUCCCUCUAAAAGCACUCUGUGUGGGGAACAUGAGAGCCAGACCAAAGCUCAGAGGAACCAGCCUGGACCUCCACCCAGCUCUGUGUCCUGUAAGAGUGACUGGUCUGCUGGUCGCCUCAUUGAUUGUAAAGUCCAGCCUGUGUCUGCUGCAGAGAGAGUGGACCAGCAGAGCUCAGAGGUUCCCAGUGCUCAGUCUGCCCAGCAGCAUCAAAC